UACGUCAGGGUCUCGGAACCAUUCGGGUAGAGAAAGUCAUACGUCAGUCCCUUCCUUUUUCAUUCCAUUUUAUUGAGUGCUUUCAAAUUCGAGCAAGAUAAAAGAGAAACGAAACAAGCAAACAAAGUAUAGACAAUAUAUACAGUAACUGAAGCUUUUGCUAAUCUUAUCGACUUUGCUUAAUCGUAUUCAUUUCAAAGGAGAAAAGUUGAAUUUUGGGGUUUUUAAAGUAACGAAAUGUUUUUUUGAAAAAAUAAUCAAAUAAAAUUCUCAUCAAAAUAAAGCAACCAAAAUAAAACAAAUAACCUAAGAAGGUCUCUUAUGUUAGUGCAAAAAUUUGACUCAAAAGCUUAAAUAAGCAUUUGUUCAAAUAAGCACUUUUUCUAUAAGCUAAAAAGCAAAUAAGCAAAUAAAAUGACUUAUAACAAUAAGCCAACAAAAUUUGUGAUCUAAAAAGAUCAAAUGUUUAUUAGCGCAAACACUUGACUCAAAAGCUUAAAUAAGCAUUUGUUCAAAUAAGCACUUUUGGUCAAAACAACUUAAAUAAUCACUUACUAACAAGAAAAAGUGUUUUUAUUAAUCAAAUAAUUAUCUACUAACUCAAAAAAAGUUUUCAUAAGACAAAGUACUUAUUUAAAUAAGCCCUCAUGUGAAUAAGCACUUAUUUAAAUAAGCACUUAUGCGAAUAAGCACUUAAAACAAGCAAAAACGAACUGGGGGGUGUAAACUGGGUCUGGGGGUGAAGCAAUAGCAAUCUGCAGCACCAAAGCCCAGCCCAGUUCGUCCAAACAAAAAAAACAACAAAAAUGGACAUGGUACAGCACUGAGAAAUAGAUGCACGGUAGGCUUCCUUGAUCUGGGCCUUUUGAUUUGAUCAAACGGCUUGGAUUUAAAAAACCCUCUAACAGAUCU
rnacentral:lncRNA from 1 species